rnacentral:rRNA from 1 species
ACAAUGGAGAGUUUGAUCCUGGCUCAGGAUGAACGCUAGCGGGAGGCCUAACACAUGCAAGCCGAGCGGUAUAGUUUCUUCGGAAACUAGAGAGCGGCGUACGGGUGCGUAACACGUGUGCAACUUACCUUUAUCUGGGGAAUAGCCUUUCGAAAGGGAGAUUAAUACCCCAUAAUAUAUUAG